UAGAUUGAAGCCCGCUGGUUUGGGUUUUUAGUUGUUAACUAAAGGUUUAUGGGAUCAAGGCCCGUCGGUCUAG
rnacentral:tRNA from 1 species